rnacentral:rRNA from 1 species
UACGUAGGGGGCAAGCGUUGUCCGGAAUCAUUGGGCGUAAAGCGCGUGUAGGCGGCCCGGUAAGUCCGCUGUGAAAGUCGGGGGCUCAACCCUCGAAUGCCGGUGGAUACUGUCGGGCUAGAGUGCGGGAGAGGCGAGUGGAAUUCCUGGUGUAGCGGUGAAAUGCGUAGAGAUCAGGAGGAACACCCAUGGCGAAGGCAGCUCUCUGGUCGACCUCUGACGCUGAGACGCGAAAGCGUGGGGAGCGAACGGG